AUUGAACGCUGGCGGCAGGCCUAACACAUGCAAGUCGAGCGGAUGAGUGGAGCUUGCUCCAUGAUUCAGCGGCGGACGGGUGAGUAAUGCCUAGGAAUCUGCCUGGUAGUGGGGGACAACGUCUCGAAAGGAACGCUAAUACCGCAUACGUCCUACGGGAGAAAGUGGGGGAUCUUCGGACCUCACGCUAUCAGAUGAGCCUAGGUCGGAUUAGCUAGUUGGUGGGGUAAAGGCUCACCAAGGCGACGAUCCGUAACUGGUCUGAGAGGGAUGAUCAGUCACACUGGAACUGAGACACGGUCCAGACUCCUACGGGAGGCAGCAGUGGGGAAUAUUGGACAAUGGGCGAAAGCCUGAUCCAGCCAUGCCGCGUGUGUGAAGAAGGUCUUCGGAUUGUAAAGCACUUUAAGUUGGGAGGAAGGGCAGUAAGUUAAUACCUUGCUGUUUUGACGUUACCAACAGAAUAAGCACCGGCUAACUUCGUGCCAGCCGCCGCAGUAAAAC
rnacentral:rRNA from 1 species